rnacentral:rRNA from 1 species
CACUAUCGUUAACUGAAUACAUAGGUUAACGAGGCGAACCGGGGGAACUGAAACAUCUAAGUACCCCGAGGAAAAGAAAUCAACCGAGAUUCCCCCAGUAGCGGCGAGCGAACGGGGAGCAGCCCAGAGUCUGAAUCAGCUUGUGUGUUAGUGGAACGGUCUGGAAAGUCCGACGGUACAGGGUGAUAGUCCCGUACACCAAAAUGCACAGGCUGUGAACUCGAAGAGUAGGGCGGGACACGUGGUAUCCUGUCUGAAUAUGGGGGGACCAUCCUCCAAGGCUAAAUACUCCUGACUGACCGAUAGUGAACCAGUACCGUGAGGGAAAGGCGAAAAGAACCCCGGCGAGGGGAGUGAAAAAGAACCUGAAACCGUGUACGUACAAGCAGUGGGAGCACCUUUAUGGUGUGACUGCGUACCUUUUGUAUAAUGGGUCAGCGACUUAUAUUCUGUAGCAAGGUUAACCGUAUAGGGGAGCCGCAGGGAAACCGAGUCUUAACUGGGCGUUAAGUUGCAGGGUAUAGACCCGAAACCCGGUGAUCUAGCCA